rnacentral:piRNA from 1 species
UAAAAAAGGUAGAAGGUGAGUUGG